ensembl:snRNA U6 U6 spliceosomal RNA
GUGCUUGCUUCAGCAGCACAUGGGCUAAAAUUGGAACAAUAUAGAGAAGAUUAGCAUGGCCCCUGCUGAAGGAUGACAUGAAAAUUCAUGAAGUGUUCCAUAUUUUU